UGUGAUUCCAUGAUUCUGUGAGGCAGAGGAACAGUCUGGGUGGUUACACUGCAGCCAGGCACCCCAAGCUCUCCUGCAUGCUCCCCUUCCUAUGGGCAGCUCUGCCUCUGAUGAGAGCAACCACUGAUUAGUCCUGCCAGAAACCACACUUCCCUGGCUCAGGCACAGAAAAAAACAACAGAUAACACGAGAGAGAAAGUCAGAGAGAGGGAAGAAGGCAGGAGCAAGUGGUAAGUAUAUGGAAACCUUGCUGGUGUUUGCAGGCUCUCCCUGCUGGAGUCGAGUGUGUGCUUGUAAAUCCCACAGCAGAGGAAUACAAAUAUUUGUGCUGCGGAAACACUCCCAAUGAAGUCCUGGAGCUCUCCCUCUCAAUUCCUUUCAGCCUUUCAGAGGCCUGUUUGCUACUUGGUCUGUGGGAGAUGGCAGAGAUGCAGCUGCUUUUGCACGGGCAGAGAGUGACAGGACAAAGCAGAGAUUUAAAUCAGAUGGACUGCUGUUGCUGAUGUAUUAUUUAUAUAGCAGGAAAUUAGACUCUGAGGACUCAAGUAUUCUUCAAAUAAGCUUCCUAAUUCUGUCAAUUAAGAAUGCACAGGCUGCUGGGGCUCUAGCUUGGGAUGAGCUGCAGAGGAGUGAAAGCUGCCCCUGGUCAUUGCUCUGAUGUGCUGCUACAGAUACUUCAGCUGGAGGAAAAAUAUCUUAGUCCCAAAAUCAAACGUGUGAGAUGCUGGGAGGCUUAUAUAGAGCAGCUCUGGCUGAUUCCAGUGGGACAAAUAACUUCCCUGUGCUCUGACAGGGGAAUACUGAAAUGCUGAA